rnacentral:lncRNA from 1 species
AUUUGUGCAAGUAUACAUAUAUAUACAACUAUGUAUUUCUAUCUAUCAGUAUAAAUUUAAGAUUACACUGAUAUCCUCAGAGCUACUUUGAAUCAACUGGCCUAAUACUGACACCCGGUGUCAUCUUCAAGCCUCCACUUUACAUCUAAAAUCCUAGAUCAGCAACUAUUACGGGUUGAAUUGUGUCCCCCUAAAAGAUACGUUGAAGUCCUGACCCCAAGUACCUCAGAAUGACCUGAUUUGAAAAUAGGGUAGUUGCAAAUAUAAUUAGUUAAGAUGAAGUCAUACUGGAGUAGGGUGGAUCCUUAAUCCAAUAUGACUGGAAUCCUUGUAAGAAGAGGAGAAGACAGAGAAACAAAAGUAAGAUGGUCAUAUGGAAACAUGAGUAGAGAUUGAGUUAUGCUGCCACAAACCGAGGAACACUUGGUACCACCAGAAGCUGGAAGAGACAAAAAAGGAUUCUUCCUUGAGCCUCUGGAAGGAGUAUGGUCCUGCCAACAGCUUGAUUUCAGACUUCUAGCCUUCAGAACUGUGAGAGAAUAACUUUCUGUUGUUAUAAGCCACCCAGUUUGUGAUACUUUGUUAUGGCAGCUCUUGGAACUAUUAUAGCACCUAUCCAUUUGAUAUUAAGUUUUUACCCUCUAUAAUCUGAUAAUACGCAAAUUAAAAUAAUACUCAAAGCCUUUACUCCAAAGGCUUCCUCAGUUGCCUCACAUUUAAGACGGUCGGAUCCCUCCUGGACCUCUGUCAUUGGUAGCAAAGAUGAUACCAUAUUUUCUGUUACAUCCCCACCACCUGGUGCAGUGCAAGGUGCAGAGAUGGUGCUCACUAAAUGUUCGCUGACUUGAAUACCUAUAGACCUCCUUUGUCAACUUAGUAUACUAGGCAGGAGGGCCUCAAUUCUAAGACUUCUUUUUUUGCCCUCAAGCUCUGCUGGGCGAAGUUCAUCUGUCUGUCUGUCCAUCCUUCCUUCAUUUCUUCUCUCCUCCCUCCCUCCCAACCUCCCUCCAACUAAUAUUCACUGGACACAUACCAUGUGCAUGGCAUAGUUCUAGACUCUAGAGAAUUAGCAGUGAACAAAAGAGACAAAAGCCCUGUCACCUUGGAGGCUUGCAUUUUAAUGAAGGAGAAAAGUCUAGAAUCUGAAAUUGUAAAUCACCUAUGUCUAAACGACAAAUAAGUAAUAGCACAGGAUGAGAGAAUGCACCUUGGGAAUGGUUUCCAUGAGUUACUUGGCCAGCUGUGGUCUGGUGGCCUCCUUCCCAACAACCAAAGGCCCCAACUGAACAGCUGUACUUUUCUUAUCCAAUUUUUAAAUUCCUCUCCUCUUCCUAAGAGGAAGAGUGAAGGGGGCGGGGAAUAAGGGGAGAAAACAAACUGGCCAGAAAGAGAAUGGAGAGGAAGGAAUGGGAAUAAUAAUUCUCCUACAAUGUCUUUUAAAGCCAACUCUUCCUGAGCUGUGCAAGGCUAAGUACCUAACCUCUGUUAAUAUCUUUAUUAUUAUUACAUCAUUGACAACAUAAUAAUGGCUAGCCAGUACUGAGAGUUUGCUAUGUGCCAGGAAGUGGUCUAGACAGUCACCAAUUUGAUCCCGCUUACUCCUCAUCACAAUUCUAUGAGACAGAUGCUAUUAUUUUUCAUGUCACAGAUGAAGAGCUGGAUGCUCAGAGAGGUAAAGUCAUUUGCUCCAAAUCCCACAGUUAGUAAAUGGCAGAAUCCAGACACAGAUGUCAGUAUGUCAGACUCCAAAGUCCUGGCCUUCCCUCUGCUUUCAGAGAACCCUCCUCCCCAACAGGAGGCACCAGCUGGCUAGGGCUGCCCACCCAAUACGGCCUUCAAACAGGAUUUCCUUCCAUGAAAAUGUUCUUCUCAACAAUGGACCCUCUUGUUGACCCUGUCCUCUUCUUUACUCCACUGUGAGUAUUUUUUUUCCAACUCCUCUUUUCCAGGGCUCUGUCUCCCCUGGUAACCGGGGUAACAGAAAUCUUGGGUGGUAUUUGCUGGAUUUCCAAUGGUCAUGGUCACUCUAUCUUUCCCAGCACCUCUCAGCUUUUUACUUCUCUCCUCAUUAUCUAAGCCAGCAUGGAGCAAUUUUCCAAAACAUUCAAUUAGCAAUUGCACAGAGGGAACUGUGUCCAUAAUUAAUUAGUGAUUCUAGGACACACCAAAGGACAAGCAAAACCAAAGAUGUUGGAAGCCCUGAAAACUGAAUCUACAGGAAGAAGACAUACACAUUUCAGGACCAUCCUCAGGAGGGACAAAGAAUUGAACAAUCUGCUCACUAAUUCAAAUCCCAAAAGCUCCUCCACAUGUCUUAGGAUUGAACGGACAUCAAUCAUCGGGUGACAAUCCCAAGCCGAACAUUUCAGCUCCAGGAUAAAUGGCUGCCUCUGUUCUAGCAGUGAACUGAUUCUUUCCCCAUUGCUCUCACUCAGGAAAGUUGUCCCCUGUUUCCUCCCACAAUUGUUCAAGACUCUUUAAAGACAGUCUCCCCUGCAAGAUGGCCCCAGCCCCUGGGAUUUCUCGCUCUUCAUCAGAGCAGCAGUCCAGUUAAAACGCCAGGAUUUAAGAGACCAAGCUAGGAUGACUGUGGAGGCAAAGAAAGGGAAGAGAGUAGAAGAAUGCCAGGAUUCCCAGAUGUAUAGUUACUGUUCUAACCUGAAGAAGAAAGGAGGACUUGAAUAGAAGUCCGUCCAGAUCAAAUUCUCCCCAGAUGCCAACUGGUUCUCCAACACACAUGGUGAAGUGUAAAGAACUGGGGCGUGCUAGCACUGUUAUUAGUGAAAGUGCUACCUUUUCAUUAGGAGGAAAUAGGGAUUAUGUUUGCUUUGGGUUAUUAUGAACUCUAGUUAGUGCCCAAAAGACGAGAGCCAACAAAAGUCUGAAGAGCAUUACAGCAAGUUCCCACAUCUCACAGGGGUGACAUCACCACCAUCACAUACUUGCCAGCAGUAAAAAUUAGAAGCCUUAUAUAGAACAUUAGAGUUGUGGGAAUCUUUUGCUACUUUAUCUUACCUGCAGCCUAAUUUCCUUUUGUUCUAGAUUGGGCUAAUGCCAGCUUUCAGGGCUGACCUCUGUCCUUAAGGGAGCAUACCUAAACCCACCCCACCAAGCCGCAGCUUAAUACAUGACAAUGGAUGCAAGCAAUGUUAGUUAAAAAGGAAAAUGAAAAUACCUGCCAGCACAUGUGUGAGACAUACUAGUUGCUGCUGCUCCUGCUCAAAAGAGUAAAUACUAUGAUGAAUGUCGCUAAGCAAUGUUGCAUUUUCAGUCCUUAAUAACUCCCUUAGUAACACAGGAUGGGACAAACUAUUUUGAGAUUGAUGAGAUGCUUUGCCUUACUUCUGUGAAUAAUCAGCCUCAGCAACCACGGCUUCCAGCAUGAAGCAAAAGUGAUUAUCCUUUGUCCCCUGGCUGAAAUGUGUAUUAGAACUCAGUGGUAACUGUCCUGUUGGGAAGUCUAAGGGUUUUCUGCUAACCCACUCCUCCACAGUGUCUUCACCUUAAAAAAUUACUAAAUAAGUGUACAUUCUUUUCAUGUCUCCUCUCUGCCAUUGUAUAUGUGUAUGUAGCAAAUGCCAGAAAGUUGUGAAUUUUAAAUAUACCUAAAGAUUUGGAGUAAAACGGUUCUACAAAUAUUCAUCCUUCUGAUUCAAAGAUAAUGCUGCUUUUGGGGAUUCUGUGUGAGGGUGACCGACUCUGCAGGCCAGUUUCAGAUCUUGCAUUGAUAACAACAACUCUUUGGUUUACAGAUGCCAGAAAGUUGCUCAGAGUGAGCCGCCAAUGACAACUAAUGGCUUUGUGCCCCUUUCCCCCACUUGCCCAGCAUUCCCUGGUUACCAGAAUUUUUGAUUACCCAGCAGUCUCUGGUUACCCAGAAUUCUGGAAAACCCAGUAUUCUUUGGUUACCCAGAAUUCCCAGUUACCCACGAUUCAUAGUUAUCCAGUAUUCCCCAGUUACUCAGCAUUUCUCAGCUACUAAGUAAAUAUUACGUAGAAAUAGUCUGCAAGAAAAUAACCUCUUCAGCAGGAUUCGCCCAGUGGAAUUCUGGAACUUAUCAUCUACUUCGAGGAGCAAUGCUGCACAAAAGACGUUACUGUACAAAAGCUAGAGCACAGAAUCUCAACUACACGUUUUCCCAUUGAAGGGACUGUGGGCAAAUCAAUGUCUUCACGCCUCUGUUUUCUGACCUGUUAUUGCAAUGACUAAGUUGACAUAUGUAAAGCGCUUAGAACAGUGCCUUCUUCUGCGGCAGAGCUAGAAAAGUGUUCGCAAGAGUCUUCAGUCAAAACAAGCAAAUUCCACAGUUUGUAAAGGAGGAAAAAGCUAAGUCCAGAAUGCACCCUUAGGAUCUGUGUUUGCUUCUAUUUCAGAGGAAGCCACUGAUGUAAUAGAGCUAGAAAUUGCCAAAAUUCGAAUUCCUAUAACAUCAAACUGUAACUAAUUAUGGUAUGGUCAUAUGCUGUAUGUUUCCCAGAAAUAACUGAUGUUCCACGGACAAGUAAGUGGCUGACAAGGGUGGGAAAAACAUAUAGUAAACGUCCUUGUUUUUCUUGGCUGUUAACUUUAAUAUAAUGAAAUAUUCGAUGAAAAAUAUGGACACUCAACAGCAACUACUUCUUACCACUUUAGAAAGACACUCUUGAACUACUGAAAGUUAGAAAUCUGUGUUCAGAUAGCAUUGCCAAGUAAUGUAUUUUGAAACUUUUACAUUUUAAAUUACAAAAAUGUUACUCAUUUCCCAGGUGUUUUUCCCAGUAGAAAUUACAGUGAUAGAUGUUAAACUAACUCCAUGUGGUUCUCAUUUUCAAAAAUACAAUUUUGGACUGCUUAAGAGUUCCACUGUAUUUCUGUGAGCUGCAAAAAGAAAUCCACUUUGGUUUUAAAUGUAGUUUUGUUUUUUUGGGUUGUGUUUUUUUUCUACUAGGAAUACAUUUCUCUCUGAAAAUUUCUCAGUAUUGCUAUUUAACAGACUAAGUGUUUUAGAUUUCUUUUAAGCUCCCUUUAUUUUACUUAAACGAAUUGAAUGCAGUGAGUUUUUGCAACUUUCUAGUGAAAGAAAAUUAAAUUAUUGAUCAAGUGGUCUUCAUUUAUAACAGCCAUACCAGCACUAGCAGGCUGGAGGUAUGUUUUGUUUCAGUAGAUUUCAUACUAAAGAGCAUGUAUUUUUAAAAUAAAUCAGCCUGAUAGUCUCAUUAAUUCUUACUUUCUGAUAGAGGUAAGGCGUGGUAACCCUGUAGGUGCUAAAAAGUGAUCAAGAUCUGAUCCACGCGACUUUGGAGACAGGUGCUAUUAUCUAUGGUGUGAUACUUCUAAAUGUAAUCAGUGUGUUUACUAUGUAACAGGCAAUGCCAGGUGCUGGAAUUAUAAUGAUGAAAAAAGCAGACCUAGGCCCUGUCCUCAUGGAGCUUAUAGUCCAGGGCAGUGUUACUUAAAGUGUGGUCUGCGGACCAGUGCCACCUCAAACAAUUUCUUAUCAGGCUGCAACAGGACAGUACAGAUUUUGCAAGUAAUUGUUUAGACAUUUUUACAGCAGUUGGACAUUGCUGCAACAUCCAAAUGUGUGAUCAAAUGGAAUGUGUGAUCAAGUGGACUCAUCUUGUUGAAUGGGGUAUGGACCAGUUUGGAUAUUGCUGAACUCGAAUAGUGAAUUUCAUGUGACAGGGUCCAAGUUCUGGUCAUGGACAAGAGGACACAUAUCGGCCUGUGACAAACGGAAAAUUUAAAAAAAAGGGCCAGCCUGGUGGCGCAGCGAUUAAGUGCGCACAUUCUGCUUCUCAGCGGCCCGGGGUUCGCCGGUUCGGAUCCCGGGUGCAGACAUGGCACCGCUUGGCAAAAGCCAUGCUGGCGUCCCACGUAUAAAGUAGAGGAAGAUGGGCAUGGAUGUUAGCUCAGGGCCAGUCUUCCUCAGCUAAAGAGAAGGACUGGCAGUAGUUAGCUCAGGGCUAAUCUUCCUCAAAAAAAAACCCUCAAAAAUCAGAAAACUAGUCCUUCCCAUAGAUAGUUCGAGAAGCCCUAGUCUAGUGCUUUCCAAACUUUAUACGAAAGAGAGAGAGUUUAAUUCCAACUGAGAAAAUUUGGGAAAGUUUCAUUGAAGAAGUGAUUCUCAGCCAUGCAUUGGAAUUUGAGGGGUAGAGAUCGCAGCAUGAGAAGAGCUAUGAAGGCAGAAAAGUGCAAGGAUGCCUCAAGCCACCUAGUUCAUUGCAGCCGGAGGGUGAUAUGGGGACAGGGGCAAAAUGGAGGUAAAGUAGAUAAACUUGCAAAGGCCAAAAGCAGCCAGUUAGUUAGUUGGGUGCCAUGAAAAGAAUUAGAACUUUAUUUUUGAGACAAUUGAAACUUCUUAUUCCUGAACAUGAUAGUAACAAGAAAGCAAGCUCCAUUUUACAAAAUAGUAUUGGUCUAAUUCGAACUAUAUGCAAUACUUUGAGGCAGGAGGCCUUUAGGUGAAGUAAAUAAUAACAGUAAAAAGGAAUUUUAAAAAAUAGUUUUCUUAAUGGUGUCAUAUAUUAGUCACACGUCUAAGUAAAUGUAUGCAAUCUUAAGUCUCCCCAUGCGCUAUAGCAUAGUACAAUGCCACUUUAGAAGAUCUAACCACGUACUAUUAAAGUGAUUUUGGAAGGCCAUUUCUUAGCUUAACAGAAAGAACACAGAUUCCUCUUGUUUUCAGAAACUUUAAUUAAACUACAGAUAUCAAGGGAACAUUAAACCAAUAUAUUAUUGUAAUAAUUUACACUAAAAUGUCAAGUACCAUCACCAAAGGACACAAGAGUGGCACUUUUUUCUCUCUGUUCUUCUUGGUUUUCUAUAAAACUAGAAUUGAACUCAUUAAAUGGGCCUCAUUUAAAUUUCUAUGUGUCACCAAAAGGCUAUAAUUCUUGCAGCUGACCAAGUUGGAGUCUUUGUGGCAUGAAGAUUCCCAUAAAUGUAUCUUUAAAAAAUAAUUGAGCCACUAAGUAAGUUGCAAACUUUGAGGGUAAAAUUUUAUAAGGUUUUACAAGGUUCUCAAAGUGUAUACCCUCUUCUCCACAGAAAAACUUAUUACAUGUCAGGAUUUCAUACGUUUAGCUGAGUAAAAAUCUAUUUAUUUAGUCUUCUAAUUGUGGUUUCAUAAUAUUUUUAAUUAUGAUGUAAGAGCUAUAGAAUUAUAAAGAUACCAUCUUGUUAAGUUGAAAGCUAUCCAUUCAGAAUUGGACAUGUUUGCAAUACAAUACAAAGCUAAAACAUGGCAUUGUGAGUCACUGAUUUUGAUAGACUAAAGCAGUGGUUCUCAAUUGAGAGUGAGUUUGCUCCUCCCAGGAGACAUCUGGCAAUGGCUAGAGAUGGUUGUCAUGACUGGGAGGAUACUACUGGUACCAGGAUGCUGCUAAACAUGCUACACUGCAUAGGAUAGCCCCCCACAACAGAAUGAUCUGGUCCAAAACGUCAACAGUGCUGUUGAGAAACCCUAACAACAUUUCCAUUAUUCCUCUUGGCAUAUAUAGAAAAAAUCACUUUGAUUCAUGCAAUUUGAAAAUCAGAAACAAGGAAGUUCCUGAAGAUUAAAACAGACACUAUGCCUCCCUUUGAUAUAAUGAACUACCCUCUGAUUUUUGCAAGCAAGACCUGAAGGUGACCCUCAGAGGUGCCCUGGUUUAAUUCCAUUGAUGGUAAUACUUUAUAUGCAGAUAUGCAAACAUUGCCAUCAGGAAACCUUCAGGACACCUUCAGAAAACGCAGGCAUGACUGAAAACUCAAACAAGGUUCCAGAUAUGUAUUAUUUUCUGAGUUGUAAGUCACUGAUGAUUUUAAGAUACACCAUCAAUUGAAUAACAGUUUUGGAAAUGUGGAAAAGAAUAUGUUUCCUUAAAUGUCUACUUUGAUUGUAAGAUGUGAACCUUUUUUAGAGAUAGUAAAUGUGCAAAAUCUAUAAAGUAUGUUAAGUGUAUCAUAAGAUAUAUGUAUUAAGUUCUUUAUGCAAAAAGAAAUGGAAACACUCUGAAAUACUCUCCCUCUUAGAUCCUUCUCGAUCAGUGUUAGCCUCUGUUAUUUUCAUUUAAGUCUUUUAUUGCUCUCCUUGUCUCCUCUUCACCACUCCAGGAAGAAGUGGUCAGGGGCAGAGUGUGCAGUGAAAUCACUAGCUCCUCAGAAACAAGAACACAAAUCUCACAGCUUCCCUUGCUUCUUUUCCUCUCUUAGGAUUUCUCCAAAGUCUUUGACUGUGUAUUGAGUACUAUGAAGAACACCUGUGCUGAGCAUCUUAGUGCUGCUAGGGCAUUUAGCUUUAUUUGACUAAACAGAGGAAUAACCAUACUUAGAUGCAAUACAAUAAAUACUUGAAAUUGUUUUUAAAAUUCCACGUAAAGACCACUCACACCACUUAUUCAUAAACAAAAUCUCACUAUAAAACCUAUAUAUUUGCCUACUAGCAUAUUAUCUGCUUGUUCCACUAGGAUUUAAGAUCUAUGCGAACAGAGAUUUUGUCUUGUGUUUAUUGGUUGAAUGAGUGAAUGAAUGAAUGAAUAAAUGAAUACCUCCUCCCAAAUAGCAGAGUCAUUACACAGGUAAAACCUCAUGUUAUUUUCACACCAAUGACAGGAGACAACAGGACUCACUCCAUGUUAUAAACUACUCAUGUCCAUUCAUUCAUUCUCUCUCUACUAAGUCUUUCAUGAGCGGCCCCCGCCACCUUUCCAGGUUUCCCUUGCACCAUGCCUCCCUUGCUCUCCAGCAACACUGGCCUUGGUCCAGUUCCUGGUAAGCUCCAUGUUCCCUGUGCAUGUUCUUGCCUAGAACACUCUCCUCCCUGAUCCUAGCCCCUUCAGAUUUCUUCAGGGAGGUCUUCCCUGAUCACUACUUAGGCUAGAUGUAGUGCCUGUAUUUUAUAGUCUCAGUUUCCUGUGUUUUCUUUUUCUCCAUCACAGUAAUGAUUGCAUUUGUAAAAUCUACUUGUGUAAUUAUUUGAUUACCAUUUCCUCCACCCCACACCACUCAACUGAAGGCAGAAACCAUACCUGCCUUGUUCCCCAUUAAUAUCCCCAUGAUUUAGCACAAUGCCUGUCAUACAGCAAAUGCUCAAUAAAUAUUUACUGAAUGAAUUAUGUUUCUAGGAGCAAGAUCUGUUACCAAAUGUAUGAGUCCAUGUUAUACCAUAUCAUUCUGCCCUAGGGCUCAAGAUUCAUAGGUCAGAAGAAAGGAACUUUUGAAGCAGCCAGCCAGUGAGGAG